UACGUAGGGACCGAGCGUUGUCCGGAUUUACUGGGCGUAAAGAGCGCGCAGGCGGUCGAUCAAGUCGAGUGUGAAAGCCCCCGGCUCAACUGGGGAGGGUCAUUCGAUACUGAUCGACUCGAAGGCAGGAGAGGGUAGUGGAAUUCCCGGUGUAGUGGUGAAAUGCGUAGAUAUCGGGAGGAACACCAGUGGCGAAGGCGACUACCUGGCCUGUUCUUGACGCUGAGGCGCGAAAGCUAGGGGAGCAAACGGG
rnacentral:rRNA from 1 species